rnacentral:rRNA from 1 species
AGCAUUAUACCGUGAAACUGCGAAUGGCUCAUUAAAUCAGUUAUCGUUUAUUUGAUAGUACCUUACUACUUGGAUAACCGUGGUAAUUCUAGAGCUAAUACAUGCUAAAAACCCCAACUUCGGGAGGGGUGUAUUUAUUAGAUAAAAAACCAAUGCCCUUCGGGGCUCCUUGGUGAUUCAUGAUAACUUCUCAGAUCGCAUGGCUUUACGCCGGCGACGGUUCAUUCAAAUUUCUGCCCUAUCAACUUUCGAUGGUAAGGUAUUGGCUUACCAUGGUUUCAACGGGUAACGGGGAAUUAGGGUUCGAUUCCGGAGAGGGAGCCUGAGAAACGGCUACCACAUCCAAGGAAGGCAGCAGGCGCGCAAAUUACCCAAUUCCGAUACGGAGAGGUAGUGACAAUAAAUACUGAUACAGGGCUCUUUUGGGUCUUGUAAUUGGAAUGAGUACAAUUUAAACCUCUUAACGAGGAACAAUUGGAGGGCAAGUCUGGUGCCAGCAGCCGCGGUAAUUCCAGCUCCAAUAGCGUAUAUUAAAGUUGUUGCAGUUAAAAAGCUCGUAGUUGAACCUUUGGCCUGGCUGGCAGGUCCGCCUCACCGCGUGCACUUGUCCGGCCGGGCCUUUUCUUCUGGAGAACCGCAUGCCCUUCACUGGGUGUGUUGGGGACCAGGACUUUUACUUUGAAAAAAUUAGAGUGUUCAAAGCAGGCCUUUGCUCGAAUACGUUAGCAUGGAAUAAUAGAAUAGGACGUGCGGUCCUAUUUUGUUGGUUUCUAGGACCGCCGUAAUGAUUAAUAGGGACAGUCGGGGGCAUCAGUAUUCAAUUGUCAGAGGUGAAAUUCUUGGAUUUAUUGAAGACUAACUACUGCGAAAGCAUUUGCCAAGGAUGUUUUCAUUAAUCAGUGAACGAAAGUUAGGGGAUCGAAGACGAUCAGAUACCGUCGUAGUCUUAACCAUAAACUAUGCCGACUAGGGAUCGGGCGG